UAAUACGGAGGGUGCAAGCGUUAUCCGGAUUUACUGGGUUUAAAGGGUGCGUAGGUGGGUUUGUAAGUCAGUGGUGAAAUCUCCGAGCUUAACUCGGAAACUGCCAUUGAUACUAUAGAUCUUGAAUUAUCUGGAGGUAAGCGGAAUAUGUCAUGUAGCGGUGAAAUGCUUAGAUAUGACAUAGAACACCAAUUGCGAAGGCAGCUUACUACGGAUAUAUUGACACUGAGGCACGAAAGCGUGGGGAUCAAACAGGAUUAGAUACCCUGGUAGUCCACGCCCUAAACGAUGGAUACUCGACAUCAGCGAUACACUGUUGGUGUCUGAGCGAAAGCAUUAAGUAUCCCACCUGGGAAGUACGAUCGCAAGAUUG
rnacentral:rRNA from 1 species